rfam:Schistosoma mansoni, Puerto Rico, WGS project CABG01000000 data, contig: 0337
AUCCAACUGACUAGUCCCAGGUAGGAUGAAACGCGUGUCUUGGAU